rnacentral:lncRNA from 1 species
AGCUGCGGAUCUAGAUCCAUUAGAAGGUGGUGACAUCCAUUUGGUCGGUUAUGACUAACCCUUAGAAGAAUAGCAUAGCGCAGCACAGCACAACAGAAACUAUCAGAAUGCAUCAAAUGUCACAAAGGCUCUCCUACCAGGAUGACAAAAAUCGGCAACUGAUGCUCCCAGAGGAGGACAAGAGGGACAUCCGGCAAUCUCCAAAGAGGGGUUUCCUCCGCUCUGCCUCACUAGGUCAAAGAGCCUCCUUCCACCUGGAAUGUCUGAAGUGACAGAAGGACCGAGGGGGAGACAUCUCUCAGAAGACAGUCCUGCCCUUGCAUCUGGUUCAUCAUCAGUUCAUGGAGGGACGUGUUCAGCUCACUCACCUACAGUGACCAGUGUGGUGGAGCCGCUGACAUCUCAAAGAUCUAUUUGGGAAGGCUGUCCAGGUGCCACCUGACACAGGCUGCUGUGCAAAGGCAGGCGGGGAAGCCCAAACCUCACUCCCAGGGAGGCCUCAGCCGCCAGAGUCCAGGUUCUCCAGAGGCUACGAUUUGAAGAGGUUGAGGGGGAAGAUAGGAGGGAAAGAAGAGUCCUACAACUGUCAGGAAUGGGGCACCUUUCCCUGUAACUAAGCAAAGCUCCCUCUUCCCACUGCCCUCCCCAGCCCCAGCUCCCUGUCCUCCCCAACACCUAGUGAGAAAGACGGUGCGUGGAAGGGAGUCCCAUGGGCAGAUGCUUACACGGCCUCUUUGCGAAGCUUCUUCUGGGUUUAACUUCAUUCAUCAAUUUAUUUUUAUGUCAAAGCAAUGAAACGUUUCUUUCUGGAGCCAGAUACCAAUAUAACAGGUGAACGGG